CAAUUGAACGAUGCUAAUACCCAUAUGCUUUCGAGUGAAAUGGAUUUAUAUUUAUCCGCCUAGAGAGAAGCUCGCGGCUGAUUAGCUUGUUGGUAAGGUAAGAGCUUACCAAGGCGACGAUCAGUAUCUGGUUUGAGAGGACGAUCAGACACACUGGAACUGAGACACGGUCCAGACUCCUACGGGAGGCAGCAGUGGGGAAUUUUCCGCAAUGGGCGAAAGCCUGACGGAGCAAUACCGCGUGAGGGAAGACUGCCUAUGGGUUGUAAACCUCUUUUUUCAGGGAGGAAUCAAU
rnacentral:rRNA from 1 species